rnacentral:rRNA from 1 species
UACGUAGGGUGCGAGCGUUGUCCGGAAUUAUUGGGCGUAAAGGGCUCGUAGGCGGUUUGUCGCGUCUGCUGUGAAAACCUAAGGCUCAACCUUGGGCUUGCAGUGGGUACGGGCAGACUAGAGUGCGGUAGGGGGUGACUGGAAUUCCUGGUGUAGCGGUGGAAUGCGCAGAUAUCAGGAGGAACACCGAUGGCGAAGGCAGGUCACUGGGCCGCAACUGACGCUGGAGGAGCGGAAAGCAUGGGGAGCGAACAGG